rnacentral:rRNA from 1 species
UACGUAGGGGGCGAGCGUUGUCCGGAAUCAUUGGGCGUAAAGCGCGUGUAGGCGGCCCGGUAAGUCCGCUGUGAAAGUCCAGGGCUCAACCCUGGGAUGCCGGUGGAUACUGUCGGGCUCGAGUCCGGAAGAGGCGAGUGGAAUUCCUGGUGUAGCGGUGAAAUGCGCAGAUAUCAGGAGGAACACCAAUUGCGAAGGCAGCUCGCUGGGACGUGACUGACGCUGAGGAGCGAAAGCGUGGGGAGCGAACAGG